UAACUUGCGUGGCUUCAGUUUCAGUGUUAUUAGCAGGGCUCUGACCUCAGGUGUGGGCUUGGCAUUGUACUUUGCCGCGCUGAAGCCUGCAGCGGACUCUAAUAGGCUCUGCUCAGAUGAAUGGUUUUUGCUAGUAAGGAGCCC
rnacentral:snRNA from 9 species